UAUCUUCGUUGUAGUUAGAUACAUAAGCGAGGUACUCGAUUUUGAGAAGAUCACUAAUAAUUUCAGUGACCCCAUAGGGAGGGUUGGACGUGCCUUAUUGUUCCACGGGUUCAUGGAUGAUGGGCAGGAGGUUACUGUCAAAACAUGAGAUUUUAUGUUUCCUGCCGUUUAUCAUUGUGUUGGUUAUCCACGCGAUUCUCAUAUGAAUUUGGGCGGAAGGAAUGAAUGAAGGUGGCAACUAAUUAUGCACUGGUCCUGAAAACUAACCAUGAAAAAGUUGGACCUCAUUUGGUCUUGUGAUGAUAUUAUGAUUGAUAAGGAAUAUAACAUUAAACUGAUAAACUAUAUGAUCAAUCGUAGGAAGGUGAAACUUGCGACGGUGCCUCUGUCUUAGGUAUUGUUGUUUCUUUAUUACUGCCCCAUGACUUGUUCUCAUGAAGUACCCCAUGAGAUGUGCUAGCUACAUGAUUAUACUAAUAUAAAUACUAAUAUUAAUACUAAUAAACAUGUGUAA